rnacentral:rRNA from 1 species
UACGAAGGGGGCUAGCGUUGUUCGGAAUUACUGGGCGUAAAGCGUGCGUAGGCGGUGAUCUUUGUCAGAGGUGAAAUCCCGAGGCUCAACUUCGGAAUUGCCUUUGAAACGGGAUCGCUUGAGUCCGAGAGAGGAUGGCGGAAUUCCUAGUGUAGAGGUGAAAUUCGUAGAUAUUAGGAAGAACACCGGUGGCGAAGGCGGCCAUCUGGCUCGGUACUGACGCUCAGGCGCGAAAGCGUGGGGAGCAAACAGG